CAGAACUCAGGUACGGAUGCCUCAUAAGAUCUUCACUGUGAUCAGCUGGUCUGGGAAUGAAGGAAACUACAUUGCCAAAAAUCUGAUGGUCCACGCGCCCACUGUCAGUGGCUGGAGAUCUACCAGGCAUGUGUCCCUCUCUGACAAUGUGAAGACUGUGCUGACAGUGAAGACAGAGCUGAAGUCUGUUCAUGUUGAUGCUGUUGGGUCUUAAUUAAAGCUCACUUUUCACAGAAACCAUGUUAAUCAAUACAACAUCUACAAUCAGGUUGCAUUGGUGGCCAUAAAUAUUUUGGGUGACUCUGUGGAUGGACAUGACAUGGGGAUGGCAGUAAG